AUGUCCUCGGAUCUCGAGUGCUCCACUGAGGAGAAACGAGCCUUCGCUUCUCUGCACCCGCCUCCAAAUCAAAUCAAUGGCGUCUCCUCCGCCACAAGAUCCAAUGGCAUCUCCUCCGCUUCCUACUGCAGCCCCUCACCCUUCUCUUCUGAUUGAGAUCGGACCCGACGGCAUCACCAGAGAGUCCCCCGUUAUUGCCUACACCGAGAGGAUCAUUGAGGCGGAGAAACUCCAGUUGAAGAGGUAUAUCCAAGAAAACUAUUCAAAGAUACGAGAAGUAGAACGUGAAUUUGAGAAUCUUACUUUGGAGUUGAAACUUACAGCUGGGUCAAAGAAAGCAGCACUUGAGCAUUUGCGCAAGAAGAUUGAAUUAUCUGCUGAGAAGAUACAUGCAGCUAAACUUAAGGAAGAACAAGCAAAAAAGGCUUGGGAAGCUGCAGCUCAAGCUGUUAAAAACGAGGAGGCAAUCAAGCUGAAGAUUUGUGAUGAUCUGAACCAGUUGGUCCAAGAAAGCACCAGCACUCAGUUUUUAAGAUUGGAGGAGCUAAAAAGACGAUUGGAAGCUCUCAACCCCAGCAGAAUAUCUUCUGAUGCUCCAGAUGGAAAAAUCAUACAGCAGACACCUAGUAAUGCUGCAGGACUCCCAACUGCAGCGAAUCAAUCAGCACCCGCUAGAGUUGCUGAUGCAAAUGCUGCAGCUAGUAGCAGCAGGCCAGCAUCAUCCGACGAAAAGAAUCAACGAGUUACUGAAAUGAAAGAUAAGAAGAGAGUCAUUAACUCUGGAAGAGCAAAGGGCAACAUGCUCUUGUCAAAGGGAAGAGGAUCCGGGUCUGGCUGGACCGGAUCUGGGUUCAACGUAGAUAGUGGCAUGUGAGAAACAGUUGAUUUUGGAGCCACCGUCCAGAAGAUACAGAAUCUAAUUAAACAAAAUGACAGGGAGCUGAUGCCGGGCAUGAGACAGCGUUGCCGGAGCAAGACGAAAUGCAGAUGGAAGAGAGCGAGUACGGAAGAAGGCACGCCUCGCAGUGCAUGCCGCGGCUAUGGCGGAAGCCUCUGCCGAUGCCAGCGCCGGCGUCCAUCCUGGAGCGCUUCCGGGAGGCGGUGUUCAAGCUCAUGAUUUCGUCAGUCGUCUCCAAGGGCCGGCGACGAGAAAUGCUGGAGGAGGCGGCCGCACGGCAGCGGCUCCAGCUGGCACCUGACUCGUACCGCAGCGAGGCCGUGGAAGACUGCAUCAAGUUCUUCAAGCGGUCGGCGGCGGCCAACGCCGACAGGAGCCACUGCGUCCCAGAGGAGGCCUUGGAGGUCAUGUGAAGAGUUGUCUUCCUUCUUUUGGAGGAGCCCCGGCGUCGUUAAUUUCCGGUUGCACAUACAACUAUAUAUAAUUUUAACCGGAGAUUUCAUCGGAAAAGAACGGACGCCUAUGGCAAAACCAGUGGAAAAUA